rnacentral:rRNA from 1 species
CCUACGGGAGGCAGCAGUGAGGAAUAUUGGUCAAUGGGCGUGCGCCUGAACCAGCCAAGUCGCGUGAGGGAGUACUGCCCUAUGGGUUGUAAACCUCUUUUGUCGGGGAGCAAAACCCGGACCUUUUCGGCUGUCUGAGUACCCCUAGAAAAAGCACCGGCUCACUCCGCGUCAGCAGCGGCGCUAAUACGGAGGAUGCGAGCGUUUUCCGGAUUUAUUGGGUUUAAAGGGGGCGCAGGCGGGUUUUUAAGUCAGCGGUAAAAUCGUGGGGCUCAACCCCGUCCAGCCGUUGAAACUGGGGUUCUUGAGUGGGCGAGAGGUAUGCGGAAUGCGUGGUGUAGCGGUGAAAUGCAUAGAUAUCACGCAGAACCCCGAUUGCGAAGGCAGCAUACCGGUGCACAACUGACGCUCAGGCACGAAAGCGUGGGUAUCGAACAGGAUUAGAUACCCCAGUAGUC